rnacentral:rRNA from 1 species
UACGGAGGGUGCGAGCGUUGUCCGGAAUCAUUGGGCGUAAAGGGCGCGUAGGCGGCCUGAUAAGUAGGGGGGUGAAAUCCUGCGGCUUAACCGCAGGGCUGCCUUCUAAACUGUCAGGCUCGAGCACAGUAGAGGCAGGUGGAAUUCCCGGUGUAGCGGUGGAAUGCGUAGAGAUCGGGAAGAACAUCAGUGGCGAAGGCGGCCUGCUGGGCUGUUGCUGACGCUGAGGCGCGACAGCGUGGGGAGCAAACAGG